rnacentral:rRNA from 1 species
UACGAAGGGGGCUAGCGUUGCUCGGAAUCACUGGGCGUAAAGCGCACGUAGGCGGAUUGUUAAGUCAGGGGUGAAAUCCUGGAGCUCAACUCCAGAACUGCCUUUGAUACUGGCGAUCUUGAGUCCGGGAGAGGUGAGUGGAACUGCGAGUGUAGAGGUGAAAUGCGCAGAUAUCAGGAGGAACACCGAUGGCGAAGGCAGCUCGCUGGGACGGUACUGACGCUGAGACGCGAAAGCGUGGGGAGCGAACAGG